CGAACAUAUAUGGCAGCACAUUACCCAUGUGAAGUACACCCAUAUAUACACUGAAUAUGUAUACACGGUUGCACUAGCUACCCACAAUUAAGUACUUCCAUAAAUACAUGUGUGCAACAUGUAAUUAUUCCAGUAACCACAGCUAACACUCCCCUAGACAGAUGGUUGGAUGGUCAUGCUCUCACAGCUCACACUUACCAUAGCAUAGAGGCAUAUAUGUAACACCCUAGGUGUUAAGCAUGCACUUAGUCUCAUCAAAGUCAUGCAUAAGCAUUCCCAUCAAGCCUA
rnacentral:lncRNA from 1 species